rnacentral:rRNA from 1 species
UACGAAGGGGGCUAGCGUUGUUCGGAUUUACUGGGCGUAAAGCGCACGUAGGCGGAUCGUUAAGUCGGGGGUGAAAUCCUGGAGCUCAACUCCAGAACUGCCUUCGAUACUGGCGAUCUUGAGUCCGGAAGAGGUGAGUGGAACUCCUAGUGUAGAGGUGGAAUUCGUAGAUAUUAGGAAGGACACCAGUGGCGAAGGCGGCUCACUGGUCCGGUACUGACGCUGAGGUGCGAAAGCGUGGGGAGCAAACAGG